rnacentral:lncRNA from 1 species
GACGUCACAAGUGUAAUAUAUCAAAAGAACAAUGCAUAAAAGCGUAAAUAACGAUUAUAUUAACAUAUUACACUUCGAACAGACAUAAUGUCAUAACCUUUAUUCAUCAAAGUACAGCGAAACAUGGACAUCCAUCCACAGGAAGAUGACCGGGGGUAUCACUAGACUAGCAUCCAUCGAGUUCAUCAUCAAAAUCUUCAUCUGCAAACUUUUGAUCAAAAUUAAGCAAGGGUGAGCUCACUUAUGGUCGGGGCUCAGCAAGUGGGGGAAAAUGCAAGGUAACAAGGUAAGGCUAAAGUUAAAUGUGAUUAGCAUUUUAGUUGGUAAACAUUUUAUUAACAACACCUGUCUUACUAAUAAGUGUGAAUCCCAAGUAUUUCCAUUAAACAAAGGUAUAAGAGUAUAUCAAAAACACUUAAGUGAAACCACUUAAGCAAAUCAUUGGCAGAUCAUCGGAUCUCGAUUUAUUUUCAUCUUCAAGUUCAAUUAUCAUGUGAGGAGUCCAGGCUGCUCAUAACCGUGAGCACGACUGAUAUAUCAGUUUUACACUCUGCAAAGGUGGUACAACUUUACCCACAAGCCGUGUAUCCCCUCUAGCCUAGGUCGGCCAAAACCCGUAAACACUUCCGAGGUGAGUGGCUAGGGAUCCACUAUGAGGCUUUCACAGAAUACUCUUAAUACAAAGCAACCCGCUAAGGUUUCUAAAGUCAGUGUGGAGGCCCUCUAGGUGAGGUACCUUAGCCAAGAAUACGUCUCCAUGUUAACGUGAGUUGCCACCACUACCGCUCCCCCUCUUGCUCAUAUUUCAGGUAAGGUUGCUAGGUACUAAACAUAUAAAGCUAAUUAACAAAGCCAGAGCCAUGAUAGCACUGGUGGUUGCACUGUUUUCCCGGGUGGUCACUUCAUGUUCCAAUUAUCACAAUAUGGUCUUUUUUAAUCAUCGGAUUAACAACAAUAAUAUAAACUUACCAUUUGAAACAUUAAUAUCAUCAGUAGGAGUACCAGUAUAAAGUUAAAGUUGUAGCAAUAGCAUAGCUACUUGAUUAGAUCACAACCCAGGUUAACAAGGAAUAAGGUUGGAAAGGUUAGGUGUGUCUGAAUAGGUAACCCAUCAAAUUAUGCAUAUAUAUAUAUAUAUAUCAAAGAAUAAACUUUAUUAAAUGUAUUUUUUGGGAUCAAACAGAAUAUGCAGAGGGAUAAGUCCACUUGCCUUGCUUAUAGAAAACUUGAGGUUCUUCCACGAAUAGGAAUAGAUCUUGAUUCUUAACUACUAGAUCAACCACUGAAUAUGACACAAACAAACAAGAAGGACAAACACCACUCAAUAACAUACAACAUUCACCAUAUGUAAAGCUAAAAGAAGAGCAUUUGUUUUUCAAGAACGUCGCAAGUAAUGGUUAUAAUAAGAGGGUAUUCUUUUAAAAAAUGUGUGAUCGAUACUUUAUAAAACAAGAUAUGAGAUUAAAAAUAUCUUAACUAAAAUAUACAAAUAUUAGGUUAACCAAUUUAAUCUUUUAUAAAACGUCAUAUGUGAUAUGUCUAAGAUUAAGAUGAUAAAACAUGUUAUAACAAUAUUAAACCUUUUUAACCUUUUAGAAAAGAUAUAAGUUAUAAAUCUAAGGUUAAUGCAUUAUGAAAUACCUUAUUAAUUUUAGAAGCAUUAUGGAACGCAUUAUAAUUCAUUGUUCAACCUUCACUUAUGAUAAACUAAGAUAUAAGUCUAAAUAGGUUUUAUAUGAAAAGAUCAUUAUUAUUAAAUACCUAUUUUAUGGAAAACUAGGUUAUAGGCCCUUAAGUGGAUUUUCAUGCAAAAGAUAAUGAACAAAUAACUAUCUUUUAUUUUCAUUAGGAAACACAUAGCCUAUAUUAUUAUAUUCGAAGUUAAUAUAUAAAGUAACAUUUUAAGUUUAAAAGAACUUAAACUCCUAUUACUUUAUUUUAUCCUUUAGGAAAAGCUAAGUGAUUCGUAUAUAAUGUGGACUAAAUUUUAUGAAAUCAUUAAUCAUACCAUAAAUCUAGUUGAGAACAAAUUGAUUAUAGGUUUGAUUAAUAAAUUAUGAUAAAGGAUAAUUAAUCAAUUAAUUAUCUUUAAUUCUAUUGUAGGAAUAAAUUAUCUAAUUCUUUAGAAAGGAAAUUAUGUAUAAACUAUCAUUUUAGUUUAUAAAAGCAAUGACCUUUGUUAUCUUUUUAUUAAGAAAAUAUAAAUAAUCUAUUAAUUAUAUUUAGUUUCAAUUUAGGGACAUAUGACCUAAAUCAUUUGAAAUGAAUACUAUAUUCAUUGGUAUAUUAUUAACUAUCGUUUUAGUUAUGAUGGUGUGAGUACUUAAUUAAGCCAUUAUAUCAUUAUUAGAAAAGUUAUAUGACAUACUACUAUUGUAAAGCAUAUAAUUAUGGAUACUUAAAUAUGAGACUAAAUGAGUUUUAUGUGAAGAGAUAAUAAAUGAUUAUCAUUCUAAUAGAAAAAACACCAAAUCUAUAUUUGUUGAGAAAACUAUAUUUAAACCGAUAGGUCAUCAUUUUAAAGAUAUGAACACUAAUUUUUAGUAUCUUUAGAAGACUCUAUUCUUUUUGUUUUCUCCUUUCUUUUCUAAAUAGAAAUUACUUUCUUUUCUAAAUAGAAAUUACUUUCUUUUCUAAAUAGAAAUUAUAUGUAUGACUAAAAAUUAUUUAUAAUUCUUCUAACAUUAAUAUUCUAAGAAUUAAUUGUAAAUUACUAAUUGGACUUUUUAAUAACAUAUUCAUGGUUAUUAUGACAUAAACAAGUAUUUUACUAAUUCUAAGUAAUUAAGUGUUAUACUUACAUUUCAUGACUAGUAAAAUCUAUAUUUUUAUCUAACUAAACAUAUGUGGCGUAGGUGUAAUGACUUAACCAAUUUUAUAGAAAUAAACAAAUUAUUACCUAAUUAUUUAUACUAUGAAUAGUGAUCUCAUUUUAGUUUUAUCUUUUCUUUCUAAAAGAAAAAUGUCAUUAAUAAUAAGAGAUCAAAACAUCUAAUAAUACAUUAAACCACUGUUUAUACUAUAAUAUUUGUAUUGUUAUGAAUUCUAUACCACUUACUAAUUAUAUGUUAAGAAAAGCUUUUAUUAUCUAUUUAGUGGGUUUAAAUGAAUUUAUGAAUAUAAACUUUUAGAUAAAUUAUAACAAUCGUCAUAAACAAAAUUAACUAAGAUAUUAUUUAUCUAGUGUUUUCCUCACUAACACAUGGUCUACCAAAUUCUGUCAUUCCUAUUUCCAAUCCCAAAUUCUAAAGAGAUCGUAAAUCAAUAUCACGUCUAAAACCCGUUUACUAAUUCAUCGCACAAACACUCAAAAUCAAUCGUUUACACACAUAAAUUCCAAAUCACAAUGAAUAAUUACCAAAUUCAUGAAUUAAUUCAAAACAUGAUUUUGGAGAUAUAAAAAUAUUUGGGUUGUCUUCAACCUUGUGGUGAAUGGAGGGAUUUGGUCGCGGUGAGACGAGGCACGACCAAGGACGAGCGAAGCCGGUGUGGACGAGGCUUGGCGUUGGGCACGGAUGAUCCAGUUGGUGUGCUGCGCGAUCGCGUCGACAACGGACGAUGUAACUCCGGCGAUGCGUUUGGACGGCGGGGCACGAACGGACGGUGAACGGCAUACGGCGCGCAGGCACGGGCGGAGCUCCGGCAAACGGCGGAUGGACGCGGACUAUCCGGCGACGAGAUUCACGACGGCGAGCUCGGGAUGGCUUGGAGAGCGAGCUUGGGGAUGGAGAGGGAGAAGGGCUCGGCUGGAUUUAUAGAGGGGAGAGGGAGAGGAGAGGGCGAGCUGGGGUGGCGGGAAGAAACAGCGGCCAAGGCUUCAUGGCCAUUAAUGGCGUCGGUUCACGGAGUAAUGGGGGAGAAACGGACGCAAUGAAGGUCCCAAUAACAUAGAGCAGAGAAGAACGGUCGGCUCGGGCGUCGGUUUGUGGCUCGGCAGCUGCGUAGGGCACGGACGUCGGGGUCGGGCGGCGCGGCUGGCUGGGGUUGCGUCGGGCGGGGUCGCGAGGCGGCUCGGGGUGCUGCACGUGGGGCGGCACAGCGCGUGCGGUCCUACUUGGCGGGUAGGCGAGGUGCGGUCGGCCGGCUGGCUCGGACGCGGGCGGGUCCUAGCGCGCGGGCGUCGGAGUCAUGGAAGCAGGGAGCUCGAGUUUCGUUUGGGAGAGAGAGAAGGGAGAGAGGAAAGUGAGUGGGGCUGGGUGGGACAGAGAUGGGGGAGGGAGAAGCAGGUGGCGGCGGCGGCUGCCAGGGAGGCGCGCGCUAGGGUUAGGGGAGGGAGCAGGGCGCGGCUAAUGGGCCGAAUGGGCCGAUUUGGCCUGAUUAGAUUAGGUUUUUUUUCUUUUUUUAUAUUCAGAAUAUAAUAUAUAUAUAUACAUUGCAGAAAACAAACUCUCAAAAUAAUAUUAACACAAAUAAAUAUUUGUAGAAGAAUAUUGUUUUAGAAAGGACUCUCUUUUUAAAUAAAAGACCUUCACCAAAAGAAAAUAAAGUUUAAUAAAAAUGGAGCUUUUGCAAGUACUAUUAUUUAAAUGUUAUUAACAAAAAAAUACAUAUUACAACGAUAAUAUAUUAAUAAUUCUUUAUUAUUUCAUAAAACGAGAUUUCCUUCAAAAUUGUAUUUGCAAAUCGAUUCAACCAAAAUUUAUACUCCAGCAUGAAUGCUUCAAACACUUGAUUAAAUUUUAUCUAUUCAAGAAAUUCUUUAGAUUAUAUAUUCCCAGGUUUUCCUUAUUUGAAAACAUAAAUAACUUUCCUUUCUACUGAAAUUUAAUAAUUCGAAUAGGGUUGUUUGCAUUUGCUAGAUUAGGGUGUUACAGUUUUUGAACCCAUGUUGUUGUAGGUGAGGAAACAGCAGAGUUUUGCUGUUUCUGUUCAAAGGUGGUACCAAAAGAGGAGCCGAAUCUGUGAUCGUGUAGGCAGGAGGAUGUUUGCCUCCCAGUUUGAAAUUACUAAACUUUUGUGCGGGAGGGUGUUUUGCCUCCCUAGUUUGUAAUAAUACUUUAUGCUCUCUUAAUACCCAGUAUUGUAAUAAUACUCUCUCUAUAUUUUAUGAAUGUAAAUUAAUUAUUGUAAUCUGCUUCCGCUUAUUCUUUCCUCCAAUGUGAUGUAAUAUCUACAUGACGGGUAAAACGCUCUUGGGCGAUGUAAGGAAGAUACAGAGGACCGAACUUGUCGAGUGAUUAUGCUCAUCUAUAGGAUUGUCCGAGGUCCUUAGGACAAGGACAACUGUAUGUGGGCCUAAUACCUUGGGAGGUUCCGUGACAGCUGGUAUCAAAGUGAAGCCCUUAUUCUUAGAUAUUACGUAGUACUUCAAAAGAAUUUUCAAACACUUAUCUUGAAAUUUUCUUUCGUUCUUACCUUAUCACUUUCUGGCAGCCCCUUAUCUUGUAAAGUUGGAUAACAGAGUGCAAUAUAUAUAGGAAGUUGGGGAUCAACGAAGGUUGAUUCCAUAAUUAUUAGAUUAUGCAUGCAUCAUAUUUAAAACUAUACUAAUAGAUCUUCCCCUCUUAUGGAGAUAUGGCACGCACUAAGACUACCCAGCGCAAAUCGACUGGACCUCUUGGUGUGCCACGACAUCUGCUAGCCUCCAGGCACGAAGAAAGUAGUAGUGGCAGUAAUGAUCCAAUUGGAGACCUGCAAGUGUCACACCCGGUUUUGAAGGUAAACCGAAUGUGAACCAUGUACGUGCAUAGCGAUUACAUAAAUGACUCAUCAUAGCACAAUGCUUCGAAUAACAAUAAAGAGUAAGUAAUAAUAUUAAAGACUAGAGUCAUUUACAUAAUAUGAAUCAAAGUGCACAAAAUAGAAACGUAGCCAACGUAAACAAACCCACCACAAGAAGCUGACUGGGGGAGGUCGUUAGCCUAAUCCUCGAACUCGUCGAAGUCCUAGAACUCCUGGAGAUCCGCCUCGACGCCUUCUUCUUUACCUGAGCAUAGAUUGCACCAAAGGCAACCUAGUGUUUUGUGAAAGCAAGGGUGAGUACACAUCAACGUACUCAGCAAAUGUCCCGUUUGGCUGAGGUCGGCUAGCUUUAUGUGGAGUUAAGGUUGAAGCAGUUGCUUUUAGUUGGUCAAGUAUUUAUUAUUAGUGGGAGCCAAGUUUUAGCAAUAACCAACCCGUGAAUCAUUUCCUCAUCGAGGAACAUCAUUAUCAUCAUCAAACCAAAACCAUAAAUAGAACCAUUGAAUCUCAGGUCAUCUGUAUCUCUAAUCAAAGAGGAUACUAAGGCCGCUCUUAACCGUGAGCACGGGUGAUAUAUCAGUUUCAUAACACUCUGCAGAGGUUGCACACUUUACCCAUGAGCCAUGAUUCCCUUUCUGCCCGAGGAUCGUGACUCCCCAUUGAUCACUUCUAAGGUGAACUAGCAGGGUCUCACUACGUGGCUUUUCCCUAGGGUCCUCACUAUGCGAAUGUUGGAAAUGACCAUUGCAUAAAGUCCAUCUGAUGUCCCAAAACCUAUACCUCUGCCCUCAGGAAAAAGUCGUGGGACAAUGCCCGUACCCAGAUCCCUGAGCGAGGAUAUAGGAGCCAUAACAGAUGUCUCUGUUUCCCAAUGACCAAAAACCAGCACCAAACAUAAGACUUCCCUAAUUACUUGGCCAAGGGCGUCCCAUACCACCCUCAUGGUUGCACUGUUUUCCCGGGAUGUCGCUCCCCGAACAGGUCCUUACGGAGAGGCACUCAGGAAACAGCCUGAGUCCCCUAAAGUAUCACAGGACCAUCAUCGGGAUAACAUCAUCGUAUCAUAAGUAAUCACAUCAUGUUCAUCGAUUAAAGUAAAGCAAUAGCAUGAAGAUAACCAUAAUAACCCAAAAGGUAAUCAAGGACAAGGUAAAUACAAAGCUAGUCAAUCGUUAGGUUUCAAUUGAGUUAUGCGGGAUAGUGAUUUAUAAAGUAAAUAGGACAUAAUGGGUCAGAGGACACUUGCCUUCACCAAAGAGAUGCUCAGGGUCUUCAAUCCCGUAGAACUCGAAGAGCUUGAUCUCAAGACCGGUGGUUCACCAAAUCUUGAUCGUCGAUUCCUCGAAGCUCGGGAACAGAUUGCAAUCUGUUCGCGACGCACAACGAAUACAAACAGACAUAGACAAACAAACAUAUACUUGCAUAAGAACAUUACACCAUACAAAGGAAACCAUUAUAAAAACGUGUACUAUAAAAUAGAGAUCGCUUCUACAGUCACGCGAAGAAAUAAGCGCUGGAAUCGAAACUAUGGCUGAGACGGUAUGGUUUUCGGAAGGUUUACAUAAUAAACGCGUAACCUAUGUUCUAGGUCGAUUUUAAUUAAUAUAAAUCAUUUGCGGAAGAUACUCUAAAGAAAUAUCUAAUGUGGCAAUAUUCGAGAUUGUAAUUUGAUCGGAAACCACAUUUUUAAACUGGUCGGAUUAUAUUUAUGAACAUGACACAUAAGACUCACUAUGUUUAAACAUAUAAUAAAUUUAUAAAUGACACGACAUACUGGUACCACUAAAUUAUAUCGUUUUAUAUUAAUCGAAUAUUGAAUAUAACGUCUAAGUCGGCAUACUCGCUUAACAGGUUCGAUCAAACGAUUAUUUUAACUAACCGGCACUAAACAAGAAAUCAAUUAUUUAACAUGAACGAUGCGGCGAAGCGAUUUUAUCAAAGCGUCUGAUUAGCGAUUUAUGCGAGCGGCGACGCGAGCGAACAAUGUGAAUUAGCACGCGCGAGGACACGUGAAACAACCCUGCGGCACGCGCGAAGGAGCUCACGGACGGUACGCACGACAAUACGUGAUCAUGUGUGACUGACGCGUGACGACGCGUGCGAACAGCACGCGAACCAUACGCGUGGCGCGAACGCGCGAACGAAUGACGACGAAGUACAAGCAGCACGCGAAUGACACACGAAACAGCGUGCCACCGCAUGCAGAACAGGCCACGCAACAGGCGGAGAAAAACUAAUUAGAUGUUGUGCUUAAACUAAACAAGUAUUAAAUAAAUAAAAAGCAUUUAAGCUAAUAUUAACUAUGUUAAUGUUUAUUAUCAAAGCCCAAGUUGAGCACUACACUUUUAAUCUAAUCAGAAUAUUAAUGUAACAAUUAUUAGUCGAGCAAACCUUAAGUUAACUAUUUAAAAUACGCGAACCGACAAAUUAUCAUUAUUAACAUAAGUGUUUAUAAGCGAAAACAAUUAUUAUCACGCGCAGACGCCGCACGACAUACGUGACUUAGCGCGCGGACAACGCGCGGCGAUGCGCACGAUCCACACGCGCGAUACACGAAGACAACGUGUGGAGACGCGCGCAAAACAGCACGCGCGACCCAGCACGCUAUCGCGCGCGGAACAACAUGCACGACAUAGGAGAAAUACUUAAACAGAUGUCGUGCAUACACUAAGCGAGUAUUAAUUCAAAAAUGUUUGAGUUGGCAUUAAUUAAAUUAACACGUAUUUGUAAAGCACAAGUUAGAACUAUACAUUAGUUUUAAUUG